UGGGGAAUAUUGCACAAUGGGCGCAAGCCUGAUGCAGCCAUGCCGCGUGUAUGAAGAAGGCCUUCGGGUUGUAAAGUACUUUCAGUCGGGAGGAAGGUGGUAAGGUUAAUAACCUUAUCAAUUGACGUUACCGACAGAAGAAGCACCGGCUAACUCCGUGCCAGCAGCCGCGGUAAUACGGAGGGUGCAAGCGUUAAUCGGAAUUACUGGGCGUAAAGCGCACGCAGGCGGUUGAUUGAGUCAGAUGUGAAAUCCCCGGGCUUAACCCGGGAAUGGCAUCUGAUACUGGUCAGCUAGAGUCUUGUAGAGGGGGGUAGAAUUCCAUGUGUGGCGGUGAAAUGCGUAGAGAUAUGGAGGAAUACCGGUGGCGAAGGCGGCCCCCUGGACAAAGACUGACGCUCAGGUGCGAAAGCGUGGGGAGCAAACAGG
rnacentral:rRNA from 1 species